AUUGAACGCUGGCGGCAUGCCUUACACAUGCAAGUCGAACGGUAACGGGCCUUCGGGUGCCGACGAGUGGCGAACGGGUGAGUAAUGCAUCGGAACGUACCUUUCAGUGGGGGAUAACGUAGCGAAAGUUACGCUAAUACCGCAUAUUCUGUGAGCAGGAAAGCAGGGGAUCGCAAGACCUUGCGCUGAUUGAGCGGCCGAUGUCAGAUUAGCUAGUUGGUGAGGUAAAGGCUCACCAAGGCGACGAUCUGUAGCGGGUCUGAGAGGAUGAUCCGCCACACUGGAACUGAGACACGGUCCAGACUCCUACGGGAGGCAGCAGUGGGGAAUUUUGGACAAUGGGGGCAACCCUGAUCCAGCCAUGCCGCGUGAGUGAAGAAGGCCUUCGGGUUGUAAAGCUCUUUCGGCCGGGAAGAAAUCGCAUGGGCUAAUACCCUGUGCGGAUGACGGUACCGGCAUAAGAAGCACCGGCUAACUACGUGCCAGCACG
rnacentral:rRNA from 1 species